rnacentral:rRNA from 1 species
CAGCAGCCUCGGUAAUACGUAGGUGGCAAGCGUUGUCCGGAAUUAUUGGGCGUAAAGGGCUCGCAGGCGGUUUCUUAAGUCUGAUGUGAAAGCCCCCGGCUCAACCGGGGAGGGUCAUUGGAAACUGGGAAACUUGAGUGCAGAAGAGGAGAGUGGAAUUCCACGUGUAGCGGUGAAAUGCGUAGAGAUGUGGAGGAACACCAGUGGCGAAGGCGGCUCUCUGGUCUGUAACUGACGCUGAGGAGCGAAAGCGUGGGGAGCGAACAGGAUUAGAUACCCGUGUAGUCCCUGUCUCUUAUAA